rnacentral:tRNA from 1 species
UGCCCCGUAGCUCAGCGGGAGAGCGGCUGUCUUACAAACAGCGGGUCGGCGGUUCGACACCGUCCGGGGCAACCA